ACAAAUCGACUUUUCCUUGAAGAUCCAGGUUUUUUUUUCUCAAUUCUUACUCUGGUACCACUGAAAAGACCCAAGCACUGGAUAUUAAUCACAAUAUACGUUCAAUCAAUAACAAACAGAAAGUAAAAGUUUUAGAAAUUAAAAGAUUGAAUUCAUCAGAUUUUUCGAUCAUAGCCCAGAGGUUCAGUGACCUUUUAACACCUAGUCCCAUGCUAAGUAUCCACUUAAGAAUAGAGAUAGCUCGGUUGCACUAAAAAUGCCUUAAAAUUGACAACGAAGGUUACAAAUGUUCUGCCAACACAGGAAUAUAGAAUAAGAGACUUAUCUCUUCAUAAGAACCUAACAGAUCUGACUCGAAUCACACAAGAAUUAACAGAUUUCCUUUACAGACUCAAAACAUAAGAACCCUCUCGUUCUUACAGAUUUUCGCUCAAGAAAAUCGAAGUAUUCUAAGGCUAAAAUAUCAAAAUCAUCACUUUGAAUGAGAAGUUCAAACUGUAAUGAAAGAUUAGAAAACCCUAACCAUAGAGAUGAAAGGAAGUCUCUCAAACAUCUCUCAGAAAGUGAAAAGCCAAAGGAAGAAUGAUAGUCUCUCA
rnacentral:lncRNA from 1 species